rnacentral:sRNA from 1 species
GUGGGCUACGGGGACGUGGUGCCCGUGACAGUGGCUGGCAAGCUGGCAGCCUCGGGCUGCAUCCUCGGUGGUAUCCUGGUGGUGGCGCUCCCUAUCACCAUCAUCUUCAACAAG